rnacentral:rRNA from 1 species
UUAAGCAUAUCAAUAAGCGGAGGAAAAGAAACCAACAGGGAUUGCCCCAGUAACGGCGAGUGAAGCGGCAACAGCUCAAAUUUGAAAUCUGGCCUCGGCCCGAGUUGUAAUUUGCAGAGGAAGCUUCUGGUGCGGCGCCGUCCGAGUCUCCUGGAACGGAGCGCCAUAGAGGGUGAGAGCCCCGUAUGGACGGAUGCCAAACCUGUGUGAAGCUCCUUCGACGAGUCGAGUAGUUUGGGAAUGCUGCUCUAAAUGGGAGGUAAAUUCCUUCUAAAGCUAAAUAUUGGCCAGAGACCGAUAGCGCACAAGUAGAGUGAUCGAAAGAUGAAAAGCACUUUGAAAAGAGGGUUAAACAGCACGUGAAAUUGUUGAAAGGGAAGCGCUUGUGACCAGACUUGAGCGCGGCGGAUCAUCCGGUGUUCUCACCGGUGCACUCCGCCGCGCCCAGGCCAGCAUCGGUUUCCGCGGGGGGACAAAGGUCCCGGGAACGUAGCUCCUCCGGGAGUGUUAUAGCCCGGGGCGCAAUGCCCCCGCGGGGACCGAGGACCGCGCAUCUGCAAGGAUGCUGGCGUAAUGGUCAUCAGCGACCCGUCUUGAAACACGGACCAAGGAGUCAAGGUUUUGCGCGAGUGUUUGGGUGUUAAACCCGCACGCGUAAUGAAAGUGAACGUAGGUGAGAGCUUCGGCGCAUCAUCGACCGAUCCUGAUGUAUUCGGAUGGAUUUGAGUAGGAGCGUUAAGCCUUGGACCCGAAAGAUGGUGAACUAUGCUUGGAUAGGGUGAAGCCAGAGGAAACUCUGGUGGAGGCUCGCAGCGGUUCUGACGUGCAAAUCGAUCGUCAAAUCUGAGCAUGGGGGCGAAAGACUAAUCGAACCAUCUAGUAGCUGGUUACCGCCGAA